GGUUAAUAUUAAGGGCUUAUGAUGGAUGCCCUGACACAAAGAGCCGAUGAAGGACGUGGCGUGACUGCGAUAAGCCCCGGGGAGGCGUCUAGCAACCUUUGAUCCGGGGAUGUCCGAAUGCGGUAACGCGGCCUGCCUUUAAAGCAGGCUAUUCUCCCAAGCUUAAGCGAGGGAGAAGGGGUACCCGCCGAAGUGAAACAUCUCAGUAAGCGGAGGAAAAGAAAAUAAGGCCAUUGCUUCGCAAUGGAAGCACCAAAUUCCAAGCUCCAAAUUCCAAACAAAUUCAAAGCGCUAAAUUCAAAAUCCAAAACUAUUUUGAAUUUUGAACAUUUGAAUUUUAGAUUUAUUUGGGAUUUGUAAUUUUGAAUUUGUGAUUUCCACUGCGAAGCAGUGGUAUAUUCCCCCAGUAGCGGCGAGCGAAAAGGGAGGAGCCUAAACCUACCGUGUCUCACUUUCGUUCAACACGGAAUAUCUAAUUUCUAAUAACUAAUUUCUAAUCAAUGCCCAAUGCUUAAAUGUCUAAUGUCUAAAUUAUUUUUUUAGUCAUUGGGCAUUAGUCAUUAGGAUUUGAUUAGUCAUUAAAAAUUAGGAAUUAGUCAUUACCGUGGCGAGCGAGAGCGAGACACGGUGGGGGUUGCAAGGUAGAUAUGUCCCGGAGCUUGUCUUUGGGCAGAGUUAAUCAAGCCGUAAUUUGGUUAGCCGAAGGUUCCUGGAAAGGACCAUCAAAGAGGGUAAUAAUCCCGUAGGCGAAAAUUAUUAUGCGCUCUGAAUAUCUAUUCUUAAGUACCAUGGGACCAGACUAUCUCAUGGGAAGCCGGCAAUCCUACUUGCCAAGGCUAAAUACUCUUUGUGAUCUAUAGUGAACCAGUACCGUGAGGGAAAGGUGAAAAGCAGCCCGGUGAGGGCGGUGAAAUAGAACCUGAAAUCAUAAGCCUACAAAGACUCGGAGCCGAUGCUUCGCAUCGGAAAUUCCAAAUAACAAAUCACAAAUAACAACCCUUCGACCCCGCUUCGCCGAGGCGAGCAAGCNNNNNNNNNNNNNNNNNNNNNNNNNNNNNNNNNNNCAACGACUUAUUGUCUGUUGCGUUAGUCUAAGCCCGUUAAGGGCGGAGACAAAGCGAAAGCGAGUCUUAAAAGGGCGUUUUUGUAGCAGGCAAUAGACCCGAAACCAAAGCGAGCUAGCCAUGACCAGGAUGAAUCCGCCGUAAUUGGCGGAGGAGGUCCGCACCCGUUGGCCGUGCAACACCAUGGGAUGAGUUGUGGCUAGAAGUGAAAAGCUAAUCGAGCUUGGUAAUAGCUGGUUCUCCCCGAAAUAGCUUUAGGGCUAGCGUCCGUCUUAAUUUUUUGGAGGUAGAGCACUGGAUGGAUAUAGAUGGAUUUUCCUACUAUGUCCAAUCAAACUCCGAAUGCCAAAAAAUAUUGUCGGGCAGUCAGACUGUGGGGGCUAAGCUCCAUGGUCAAAAGGGAAACAGCCCGGAUUGUCGUCUAAGGUCCCUAAGUUAAGUUCAGUGGUAAAGGAAGUGGGAUUUCUCUGACAGCUAGGAGGUCGGCUUAGAAGCAGCCAUCCUUUAAAGAGUGCGUAACAGCUCACUAGUCCAGAGAUUCCGCGCCGAAAAUUUAACGGGGCUAAACUUAACACCGAAGACACAGAUGCCGAUGCUUCGCAUCGGAUGCGGAGCAGCGGUGUGGUAGGGGAGCGUUCCAUAUUCGUUGAAGUUUCGCCGUAAGGCGGAGUGGAGGAUAUGGAAGUGAGAAUGUUGGCAUAAGUAACCACAAUCUUGAUGAGAUAUCAAGACGCCGAAAGCCCAAGGUUUCCUUGGCAAUGGAUAUCAGCCAAGGGUUAGGCGGGCCUAAGCCGAUGCUUCGCAUCGGAAAUUCCAAAUAACAAAUCACAAAUAACAACCCUUCGACCCCGCUUCGCCGAGGCGAGCAAGCUCAGNNNNNNNNNNNNNNNNNNNAUUAGAUAAACUCAAGAGGACGAAGAAUAGUACUCUGAACGUAUUAUUGGAUUUACGUUUGUCGCGUUUAAGCGCGGUAAAAAUUUCUUUCUUCGGAAGGAAAAAUUCAGAGGAGCAUUCUUCCAAGAAAAAUCUUGACUAUACUAUUUAAUAAGUACCGUACCGCAAACCAACACAGGUGGGCAGGGCGAGCAGCCCAAGGCGAACGGGUGAUUCCUCGUGAAGGAAUUCGGCAAAACAACGUCCGUAAGUUCGCGAUAAGGACCGCCGAGCACAUAACUUUGGCUUUUAAUAUUUUUAAAGAAAAACCUUCAAAAUCCAUAAUUUGUCAGUAAUGCAAUUUAUGGUAAAGAAUUUUGAUUUUCAAAAUAAAUUUUGAAAAUCAGCCAAAGUUAUGUGCUCGGCCGCAGCGAAAGACUCCUGGCGACUGUUUACCAAAAACACAGGUCCCUGCUAACUCGCAAGAGGAUGUAUAGGGGCUGACGCCUGACCAAUGCUGGAACGUUAAACCGGACGGUGGCUGUUAGUUUUUAACUGACGGCUGCCUGAAGGCUAAGCGCCAGUGAAUGUCGGCCGUAACUAUUGAAUGGACCACAGUAGUUAUAAAAUCUAGCUAUAUGCGGGAAAGCCUGAGUAUCUAAUACUACUCGAUCGUUAUAGGCGAUCAGUAACAAUGUAUUAGCGCAGGUAAUCCGCAGGAAAGAUUCAGGUAAAAAUAAAAUAAGUUAAUAAAAAAUGAACCAAAAAAAUCAACAAUGGUUUAAGCAAAUUCCGCGACCAACAGGUUAUUAUUUAGCAGGAUUUGUUGACGGAGAAGGAAGCUUUAAUGUUUCGCUCCGUAAACGCGAUGACCAUACAAUGAAAUGGCAAAUCGUUUUAAAUUUUAGCGUUGCUCAAAUAGAUAAAACUGUUUUAUCUCUAUUAAAGAGAUAUUUAGGUUGCGGGAAAUUAAAUCAACGACGACAAGAUGGUAUUUGGAUUUAUUCUGUUAUAAAUCCUUUGGCUAUCAACGAAAGGAUUAUUCCUUUCUUUAAGAAGUUUAAUUUCCUUUCUUCAAAGACAAAAAGAAACUUUUCUAUUUUUUGUAAAAUAGCUAAAUUGGUUAAUGCUCACAGUUAUUUAACUCCAGAAGGAUUAGAAAUGAUAAUUCAAUUAAGGGAAAAGUUAAAUGAGGGAAGGGGGAGAAAAAGGAAAUAUUCUAUCCACGAUUAUUUUGAUUCUUUACCUGAAGAUCCCCAGAGACUACACGCUAGACCUCGCGCUUUAAGGAAGGAAAAAUAGCGAGGAUGAUAUAGUCCGAUCUCAUGGGCGACUAUGAGAAUAACAUAAAUGAACGGUCCUAAGGUGAAAUUUUGUUGCCUUAGUAAAAUCCGACUAUAUGCUGGAAGUCUGGUAAGAAAAUAUAGCUAUGGUAUAAUAUUACCUUAGAUAUAUGACACACGAUUAUAAAUCUAAUCCAGAUAAUCAGCAGGAAAGACUAAAAACUAUAAACUUUCUAAGUUUUUAGGAUCCCCAGAGGCCAUACGUCGGAGUCGUUAAAAACGGCAAGAGAUGGUCCGAACUCUAUAGCGAUAUAGAGAAAUCCCCACUUUUUGAUUAAAAAGAGGGGAUGAUAACAUGCUUGAGCGAAAUUCCUUGACAUCUAAUUAGUGUCCCGCAUGAAAGGCGUAACGACUGGGAGACUGUCUCCACGAGGAGCCCGGUGAAAAUGCAGUGUCGGUAAAGAUGCCGACUACCUGCGGCAAGACGGAAAGACCCUAGAAGCUUUACUGCAGCUUGGUAUUGGGUUUUGGUUUUGAAUGCGUAGCAUAGAGGGGACCAAAGCACUCAACUUUGUUGAGUGCUCGGCCGAGCACACAAUUUGUGUGCUUUGGGACUUUGAAGCUCUGAUUUCGGUCGGAGUGGAGUCGUCAGUGAAAUACCCUUCUUUCAAAAUCUUCAUCCUAACUCCGACGUAAUGUCGGGAGACAGUGCCUGGUGGGCAGUUUUAGUGGGGCGCUAGCCUUAGUAAAAUGGGGCCAUUGAGAAGUGAUUCUCGAUGCAAAUCUAGUUAAUAUGCUGGAACAUCCGAGUAUCCAAAAGUACUAGUUUUUAAUAAAACAGUGAAAAUCUUUUGGCGCGGACAAUCAGCAGGGAACUUUACUAUAUAAAGUGGAGGCCCUCAACGACUACAAACUAGACCCCAGCACAUAACUUGUUAUGUGCUGGGUGGUGAUAUAGUCUGAACUCUGCGGCGACGCAGAGAUCUGGUCAAAAAGACUGGAGCUUAAAUCUAGGAAAUAUGCAUUCUCGUAUAAUAGAGAAGUACAAAAAAAUCUUUCUUUAACUUCAAGACAAAAGAAAAUUUUGAAUGGAAUAUAAAAUUCCUAGACCAUUAAGAUUAACAUAAUUGCCUAAAAAGUAACGGAGGCGUUUAUAAGGUCGGCUAAGCCCGGAUGGAAAUCGGGCUGGUCGCGCAAAGGCACAAGCCGGCUUUACUGCAAGGCGGACAUGCCGCGCAGUUGCGAAAGCAGAACUUAGUGAACCGCUGGUGGGUUGUAGAACCGCCAAAGAUCAUCGGCCAAAAGCUACUCUAGGGAUAAACUCUGAAAAAAGAGUUGUUGUCCGACCCAUUCCGUAAGGGUGGGAAGGUACGGCUUAUAACGGUGAAGCUAAAACAGGUCUUCCUUAAAAAAGGUUUAGAGUUUUAGUAAUACCGUGGGAAGUCAAAAGGACAAAAAAAUUAUGAUUCAUUUAUCUUUGCUUCAAAAACAAAUUCUUUAUGGGCUAAUUUUAGGAGAUGGAUACUUACAGAAGACCGGAAAGAAAAACGCUAGAUUAAGGUUGGAACACGGACAAAAACAAAAAGAAUACCUUUUGUGGAAAGUAGAAGUGUUUAAAUUAUUAUUUCAAGGAAAAGCAAAAUAUAUAGAGAGAAUUCAUCCUAUAUCAAAAAAUAAAUAUGGAUAUUGGCGACAUCAAUCGCAAAGUACUCCUUAUUUAGGACAUCUCCAGAAAAUUUUUUAUCCCAAUGGUAAAAAAGAAAUUCCAAAAGAUUUAGAAAAAUAUCUAAGUUUAAAAACUUUGGCAGUGUGGUAUAUGGACGAUGGUUAUUUUUCUAAGAGAGAUAGGAGCAGUUAUCUUUAUUUAGGGAAAGUCACUAAACAAGAAGCAAUAAUAACGAGCAGAGUAAUUACAAAAUUAUUUAAUCUUUCUAACGCGAUAUUAGACAAGAAACGCAAAGGAUAUGUUAUUUAUUUUUCUCCCCGUAGCGUUAAAAGAUUAAAAGAAUUAUUAAAGAAUUAUAUUUUACCUCAAUUUAAUUAUAAAUUUCCUUUAUGACCCCGUAACGACUGACCGAGCGCUCAAAGCGUUGAGUGCUUGGGAGAUAAUGGGUACCCAAUAAUUGGGAAUUAAACCCCGCACCUUUCGAAGAUUUUAUUAAAAGACAAAUUCACAAAGUGAAUUUGUGUAUCUUCGAAAGGUGCGGGGUAAACCAUUAUCAGACGCCGUCCCCUGUUAAAUGUCGCUUUGCGACAAUUUUGCCAAAGGCAAAAUUAUUUAACAGGGUGAAGAUAUAGUCUAGUCUAAGAUAAUUUAGAUUGAACAGGCUAAUAGGUCCCGAGCGUCCACAGCGACGGACCUGUUUGGCACCUCGAUGUCGGCUCAACCUAUCCUGGGGGUGAAGAAGCUCCCAAGGGUGAGAAUAACAAGCCCUUGUAAAACCAACUUAUAACGGUGAAGCCCAAUAUGUGAUAUAAUGAACAUAUGGGCAAUACCGUGGGAACAAAGGAUUUAUAAAUUGCCUUUGACUCGUAACGACUUUGUUCGGCCAAAGCGAACAAGAUAGUAGGUGCUUCAUAAUGAGGAUUUAAACUACUAUCAUACGUUGGCCCAGCGCUUUUUGUGAAAGCGUUGGGAAGAUAUAGUCUGUACUUUUAGCAAUAAAAGAAUAAAAUGUUGGCUGUUCGCCAAUUAAAAGGUUACGCGAGCUGGGUAAGUGAAAAUGAGCCCAGUAAAAAUCGGCUAAUAACGGUGAAGCCCAAUAUGUGAUAUAAUGAACAUAUGGGUAAUACCGUGGGAAGACAAAAUUAUAUCUCUAAAUUUCAGAAACAAAUGAUUAUUGGAUGUCUUUUAGGAGACGGCAGAUUAGAAUGCCGUUCAAAAUAUAAUUUAUUCAAUGAGAUAUAAAAUUUUGUCCCCGUAACGACUUCUUUGAGAAAUCAAAGAGAUGAAGGGAUAAAAGCCAUCAUAAUACGCCGGCUUGGCGCUUUUUAUGAAAAGUGCCAGGAAGUUAUAGUCUAUACUGUUAGUAAUAACAGAAUUAUAUGUCAGACCGUCGUGAGACAGGUUGGUCCCUAUCUGCCGCAGGCGUUGAUACUUGAGGGAAGCUGUCCUUUGUACGAGAGGAUCAGGAUGGACAGACCUCUGGUCUACCAGUUGGCCCGCCCGGGCCACGGCUGGGUAGCUAUGUCUGGAAAGGAUAAGCGCUGAAAGCAUCUAAGCGCGAAGCCUCGCCCAAGAUUAGGUAUCAUAGAUUCGUGGAAGAUGACCACGUUAAUAGGCUUCAGGUGUAAGCGCCGUAAGGCAUUAAGCCGAGAAGUACUAAUCAAUCAUCAACCCAUUGACCUG
rfam:Candidatus Portnoybacteria bacterium RIFCSPHIGHO2_12_FTLL_38_9 rifcsphigho2_02_scaffold_11893, whole genome shotgun sequence.